CGUUCCUGGACCAGCCUGCAUCGUAUGAUUUUCCCUUCUUGAAACAGAAAAUAAUACUGACACCAGAAUAGAGGAAGCUGUAUCUUCCGGAUCAUCUGGGAAAGGACAGAGGUGGUCUGUUGGUGCGAUUCAUAAACAACCUCUUCAGCACAACCUGGUUGAAUGUGGAGUUGUUUCAUCUGGCCAGAAACCUGUACAGCUUGACCAACAGCUUCAGGUAGACCAAUAUCCUGGUUCUUGGGCUCCUUGUGCCGACCUUUCGGUCCUUGGGGCGGAUGUCAACCCCCAUGAUGGCGCCUUCUGUUUUGUGUGUUGUUAUUUUUUCCCUUGAGCGCGGAUAGGAGUUUCUCUUUUGCCCUGUAACUGAAAGAAAAAAGUUACAUAGAUUUAAGUGUGGAUUUCUUUUCACUGAGUUAAUCUGGCAUGUAAUGAUCCCACCUCAUUUUUACAUUCUUUUUUUAAUGUUUUAUUUUUAAUUAUUAUGGGUACAUAGUAGGUAUAUAUAUUUAUGUGGUACAUGUGAUGUUUUGAUGUAGGCAUACAGGGUGUAAAAAUCACAUCAGGAUAAUUGGGGCAACCAUCACCUCAAGUAUUUAUCAUUUCUUUGUGAUAGGAACAUUCUAGUUCUACUCCUUUAGGUAUUUAUAAAUAUAUAGUAAAUUACUGUUGACUGUAGUCACUCAGUUGUGCUACCAAAUACUAUCUAACUAUAUUUUUCAACUCAAUAAUCAUCCCCACUCCCCCAGUCCUCUCCCACUACUACCCUUUCCAACCUUUGGUAACUAUCAUUCUACUCUCUAUCUCCAUGAGUUCAGUUGUUUCAGUUUUUAGCUCCCACAAAUAAGUGAGAACAUGUGAAGUUUGUGUUUCUGUGCCUGGUUUUUUUCACUUCACACAGUGUCCUCUAGCCUCAUCCAUGUUGUUGCAAAUAACAGGAUUUUAUUCUUUUUAUUGCUGAACAAUAUUCCAUUGUGGAUAAAUACUACAUUUUGUUUAUCCAUUCAUCUGUUGAUGGACACUAAAGUUAAUUCCAAAUCUUGGCUGUUGUGAAGAGUGCUGCAAUGAACAUGAGAGUGCAGGUAUCUCUUCAAUAUAUUGAUUUUAUUUUUGGGGAUAUAUACCUAGAAGUGAGAAUCCUGGAUCACGCGAUAGUUCUAUUUUUAGUUGUUUUGAGGAACCUCCAUAGU
rnacentral:lncRNA from 1 species